UUAGGCUAAAGCGCUCGUACUGUCUCCGCGGUCUACCUCCCUCCCUCCCCUGCGGGCUGUGGGGCAAGUUUCCGAACGUGGGUGCAGGCUGUCUGCGGUCAUCACUCCCUUCCCGCCUAGGGGCGCGGCCCGCUCUGUCUGUUUCCUCCGGUAGCUCUGCUGAGUCUCAACUCGGAUGCUUCUGCCUCCACCUUCCAAGUGCUGGGAUGGAAGGCGUACGUCAACACGUCCUUCUUACACACCCACUUUUGAUUGCUCGCCUUUCCACUUGGCUCUUGCUGUUCUCUCUGUCCCCACAUUUAUCUGUACGUGCAUUCAUUAGACUUUGAGCCAGUGAGUGCUGGAGUUGGCGGUGUCCCACACGGUGCCAGACGGAAGUUACAGCGAUGAGUAGGGUACUAAGGACACUGCUUGUACGGGGCUCACGGGCUAGCCUGCGGCGACUGGUUGGAGAGAUGUUUUUGCAAGGUCCCUCUUGGCUGCAGUGUGGAUUGUUUGAGAAGAAGGUGUUGGGCUAGCAGGAAAAGGGUAGACCUGCGGUGAGGAUGAAUUCAAAGUUUGAAUGACUGCCAGAACCUUACUAGUUUCACGUGCCCUUUUGUGAAAAGGGAAGGGGGGCGGUUUAGGGAGACUGCUCAGCAGUUAGGUGCAUGUACAGCUCUUCCGGAAGAUCCGAGUUUAGAUUCCGAGCAUCCUAACAGGCUAACUGUCUAUGACCCUAGCCACCAGGGGAUCCAACACCCUCUUCUUGCCUUCGUGGGCACUUGCACUUAUAUGUAUCAAUCCACGCACAGAAACACACACAUUUACAAAAUAAAAUCUUAAAGAAUA